rnacentral:rRNA from 1 species
UACGGAGGGUGCGAGCGUUGUCCGGAAUCACUGGGCGUAAAGGGCGCGUAGGCGGCCUGAUAAGUAGGGGGUGAAAUCUUGCGGCUUAACCGCAAGGCUGCCUUCUAAACUGUCGGGCUAGAGCACAGUAGAGGCAGGUGGAAUUCCACGUGUAGCAGUGAAAUGCGUAGAGAUGUGGAGGAAUACCGAUGGCGAAGGCAGCCUCCUGGGCCAACACUGACGCUCAUGCACGAAAGCGUGGGGAGCAAACAGG